CUGUCUUGCGACUCCUGUAGCUGCACUCGUUUCUGUUGAAAAAUAUUUCAUUAGACUCUUAUUUGUUUCAGGUUUAAAAUCAUACAAGAGAGAGAGAGAGAGAGAUCUUGCUCAACAGAUUCACUACUCAAAACUGCUUGUACGAGUGAGAUAGAAACACAUAGGAGGCGUGUCACAAUUGGCGAACACUGCCAAUACUCCCCAGAGGUUUAGCUCGACGAUAACAUUUGAUUCAUUUUCUCACCUCACAACUCGGUCUCAUAAGCAGUUGUGCUCUCGUGAGGGAAACUUACCUGCAUCGAGAAAAUCAUAGGCGAGGAGCUACCUGAGUUGAGACAAUACCUGAACCGAGUCGAGGAGCUGAGAGAAGCAUAUCCGAUUAUUUCAUUUCGUCAAAUCAACACAUAAAAAAUGGCGAGAAUACAAAGUUAUCGUUGUGAACUAACUGAACUAUUGGAGACGC